UGAUAUAUAUUCAAAUUCUGGUCA
rnacentral:siRNA from 1 species